UGCGCUCGUGGCGGAACCGGCAGACGCGCAAGCUUGAGGUGCUUGUGGGGAAACCCGUGGAGGUUCGAGUCCUCUCGAGCGCAG
rnacentral:tRNA from 1 species